CAGGAAGAAGGCUGGUCUGAGGCUUCUGCCGGCAGCGUCCCGUGUUCAGGUCAAACUAGAGGAAGCACAAAGGAAAAAUAAAAGAUGGCAAGUAGCCUCCAGCUGUCUGUGGGGAAUCCUUUUUCUUGGGAAAGAGGAAAGAGGAGUGAUGAUACUGUCUAGUACUGCAAGGAUGCACCUGUAGAAGAAAGUGACAUGGUAUCUAAUAGUACUAGUGAAGAAUACUACAGCUACAGUUCAGGAAGAAGUGAGAACACUGGGAAGUCUCUUUUCCUUAUGAAUUGUCAAUACAACAUAAGAGAUCCUUCACAGAAAUAGUCUUUCCAAAGCUCAAGAGUGAAGUGUGGAAGUGAAACAAAGUGAAAUUAAAUGUUUUUAAGCAAGCCACUGAAUUGGUCCCAAAUGAAUUGGUCCCAAAUAAUGUGA